GAGUUUGAUCGUGGCUCAGGAUGAACGCUGGCGGCGUGCCUAAUACAUGCAAGUCGAACGAACAGAUAAGGAGCUUGCUCCUUUGACGUUAGCGGCGGACGGGUGAGUAACACGUGGGUAACCUACCUAUAAGACUGGGAAUAACUCCGGGAAACCGGGGCUAAUGCCGGAUAACAUGUUGAACCGCAUGGUUCUACAGUGAAAGACGGUCUUGCUGUCACUUAUAGAUGGACCCGCGCCGUAUUAGCUAGUUGGUGGGGUAACGGCCUACCAAGGCGACGAUACGUAGCCGGACCUGAGAGGGUGAUCGGCCACACUGGAACUGAGACACGGUCCAGACUCCUACGGGAGGCAGCAGUAGGGAAUCUUCCGCAAGUGGGCGAAAGCCUGACGGAGCAACGCCGCGUGAGUGAUG
rnacentral:rRNA from 1 species